rnacentral:lncRNA from 1 species
AUAAAUAUUUAUUUAUCAAAUACCAUAGAACAACAACAUAAAAACUAGAGAAAUAGAAACACUAUUACUGGGAAAGAUGAACUCACCAUGGUAGACCCAGUGGACAAAAAAAUAUAAGAAUAUAGAAGUUCUAAAUAACACUAUUAAUGAGGUAGAUCUGAUUGAUAUAUUUUUAAUACUCUGCCCCCAAAAUAGAGAAAAUUUAUUCUUUUCAAAUGCUUGUGUAACACUCACAGAAACUGACUAUAAAGAAAACUUCAAUAAAGUUCCAAAAAUGAACACUAUAGACAAUAUUUUCUGAUCAUAAUGCAAAACAGAAAUUGCAAGAUUCCUAGGGAAUAAAAAUAUUUUAAGUACUAAAUAAAAGGUUAUGGGGAUGUAGCUAAGGCAGUACUCAGAGGAAAAUUCAUAUCUUUAAAUGUUUAUAGCAAUAAAAAUGAUAAAAGACAACCAAUGAAUAGACAUUUGACCCUGAAAUUUAGAAAAAUGGCAAUAUAGGAAAGCUCAGUGAAGGAGUAGGUGAAGUUAAAGGCAGAAACUAAUGAUUAGAAACAUUAUAAAAAAUUAUAAAGGAAGCACACAUACGCCUACACACAAAACAAAAAACUAUAGACCCAUCUCACUUAUGGUGCUGCAAAUCCCCAAAUUAUAUAUUAACAAAUAGAAUCUAGCAACAUAUUGAAAGAAUAACUUAUCAUGACCAAGUAAGAUUGAUUCAAAAAUUCAAGAAUGGUUCAAUAGUAGGAAAUCUUUUAAUAUAAUUUAUCCUGAAAUAUUAUUAAUAAUUAACUAAGAAAACUAAUAAGAUUAUCUCCAUAAAUGCUGAAGAGACAGUUGUCAAAAUUCAGCAACUAUUCUUUUUAAAUUUUUGUUAUUGUUUGGUUUUUGCUUUUGCAAGUUUAUAUUUUUGCAUAUAUAUUUAUAAAUAUAUAUACAUACACUGAGUUAUGUGAUGAUUACAACCUAGAAUACACAACACGACCGAAAUUAUACAUUGAAAUUGCAUAUCUAUAAUUCAUAUGAUGAUGCACAUUAAUCUUAAAUGGCACACUGAAUGACAACAUUUAUCACAUCUUCUUUAUUAACCACCACGAUUUUCUCGUUAUAUCUUAAUAGACUAUAAUACAUUUAAAUUAAACAAUGCGACUUAUUAUGUUAUGAAAAUAAACAGUAUGAUGUUUAAAUUUUAAAAUAAUAAUUAUUAUAAUAAAACGGAAAGGUCUUACGAGCCUAAGUGGACGGGCAGUUAAAGAUUAAAUAAGCUUCAACAAAUGUAAAAUCAUAGUUAUAAGGAAAGUAAUCUAUAUUACCUUCCCAAGGCAUAACUCUCAAUUAUGAUUUGUGACCCAGCAAGGAGAUCUUGGAUUCUCAUUAGUCCCUUAAAGUGUGUCAUAUUCCCUUCAACCAGGGAGCAACUAUUCUUGAUUCAAAAAAAUACAUGAUCAUAUAGGAUUCAAAAAAAUACUUCCUUAACAUAAUAGCAUGAAUGUAUCUCAGCUUGAAAUGCUUAAUGAGGAAACCCCAGAAGCAUUCUGAUCAAAACUAGUGCAAGAUAAGGAUGCCAACUAGCUCUUCAUCAUUUAACAUAAAAUAACAUGCUUACUUGAUGUACCUACUUAAUGUACUAGUCAAUGUAAUUUGAUAGCAGGAAAAAAUAAAGAAAACUAAAGUCAUAAAAUUGGAAAGAGGAGAUAAAACUAUCAUUAUUUGAAGAUGGUCUAACUGUGUACCUAGAAAAUCAAAAUGAAUCAACUGAAAAACCAGUGUGAGAAUUUUAAAAAAUACCGUGGUGCUAACUGAAUAUGUAGAAGUUAAUAGCUUUCAUGUAUACAUAUAUAUACCACAACUAGUUAGAAGAUGUAAUGGAAAAAAAUACCUUAUAUACUGUACUAGUAACAAGAAAGACAAAAUGCCUAGAGGCAAACUUAAAAGAAAUGUGUAAGAAAAAUUUUAAACACCUUUAAAAGACAGAAAAGAUGCCCUGAAUGAAAGAUAUCAUUAUCUUAGAUAAUAUAUAUAUAAUAUCAGUGAUCUCCAAAUUAAUUUAAACAUUUAAUAUGGUUUAAUAAAAAUUAUCAAUAACUGUGCUUUAGAACACACGACUCUAAAGUUCACAUGGAAAAAACAACUAACAUACUUGGGGAAAUCCUGAAAAAGAAAUAUAACAGUGGAAGACUAAGCCUACUAUAGGUUCCCCAGUGAACCCCACGCAACUCCCCACAGCACACAUUCACUUUCCUUCUGUGUCCUGAUCUAGAAACAGAGUGCCUUGACCACUCUGUGACCUAGCCAGCUGCAUGUUCCCUGCAGGCUUGAGCCCAACCAGGUGCCUUGAACAUUCUCAGGCACUGAUAAAGCUGCUUAGGUUGUUGCUCAAAAACAUUGAGAAUGUAACUCUUUUGCUAAACAUGUAGAAAUUAGCCUCAGUCCUGAACCAAAUUCCUUAAACGCUCAUAUAAAACCCCAAACCUGACCCCCUCAAGGCAUAUGUACCUAGGUAGAACAUCCCUUGUCUCACUGUCUGACUCGAGGAUUUGCAGCAGACUCCUCUAUAUGGAAGCUCCCCUAAUGAACGCUCUACACUGAUCAUCCUAGUAUUCCGUCCUUCUUUCUUUGAAAUCCCAACUGGCCCCAUCUCAGGCAGUCCCUUGUAGAAAUUCCCCUGCUACAGCUUUUAGGGUGACUACAGCUAUGGAUUUGACUUGACAGCACACCUAACAAAUAUUAAAAUAUAAAGCCUCAAUAAUUUAACCAUGUGAUACUGGAUCAUGAACAAAUAAUUGGACCAAAAAACAAAAACAAACAGACAACCAGAAGCAGCACAGAAAAUCCUGAAAUAAACCCAAUAAAUACUAUACAGGCCUUUAAUAUAUGAUUAAAGGAGGAUCUCAAUGAAAAUGGAAAAGAACUGUACUUGGUGUUGAGACAAUUAGAUAUCUAUUUGGAAAAGUUAAAUUUGGGUUUAUACCACACCCACAUCAGGGUAAAUUUCAUUUGGAUAUAAGAUUUAAAUAUAAAGAAACAAUUCCCCUUCCCUAAUACACAUACCAAAAAUACACUAAAAGAAAACAUGAGAGAAUUUCUUUUAAAACUUGGAAUGAGAAACACCUACCUAACUGUGACCUCAAAUCUAGAAGUCAUAAAAAAGUUAAAUGACAUAGAGAAGUUUAAAUCACAUAGAGUACGGUUAAUGAAAAAUAUUUUAAGCAAAGUCAAAUGACAACAGACUUCCAGUUAUUAUUUCAAAAGACUAUCACUGUCACUGUAAAAAUGGAAACAGGCAGAUGUGGUGGCUGACAUCAGUAAUCCCAGCACUUUUGGGAGGCUGAGACAGGAGGAUCCCUUGAGCCCAGGAGUUCAAGGCCUGCCUGGGUAACAUAGGGAGACCACAUCUCUACAAAAAAAUUAAAAAUUAGCCAUGUGUCGCAGCGCAUCCGUGUGGUGGCACAUGCUUGUGGUUCUGGCUACUUGGAAGGCUGACAUGGGAGGAUGGCUUGAGCCUGGGAGGUCAAAGCUGCAGUGAGCCGUGAUCAUACCACUGCACUCCAACCUGGGCAACAGCGAAGACUCUGUUUCAAAAAAAGAGAGAGAGAGAACAAGUUGGAAACCUACGAAACCUUUAGUGGAGAAGCAGGUACAAAAGAAAUCCAUUCAUCAUAGAUAGAGAUAAAAAGAAACUACCUGAACUUUUGAUGGCUGCAUGAGAACCGGCAUGAUAGAUUAGAAUUCUGAGUACACCCAUUCAUAGAGCAAUAGAGCAAGUCUCCGCUCACCUGCUGACUGUCUCCCACAGUCUGCACUGAACACAUGGCAGUGGUAUGCUAAAGGCUGGUGUCAGGGCAGAUAACUCUGAGAAAUACCUUUAAAGCAGCGGCCCCCAACAUUUUUGGCACCAGGGACCGGUUUCACGGAAGACAAUUUUUUCACGGACCUGUGGGUGGUGGAGUGGUUUUGGGAUGAAUCUUUUCCACCUCAGAUCAUCAGGCAUUAGUUCGAUUUUCAUAAGGAGCACAUAACCUAGAUCCCUCGCAUGUGCAGUUCACAAUAGGCCUCACACUCCUACGAGAAUCUAACGCCACCGCCGAUCUGACAGGAGGUGGAGCUCAGGCGGUAAUACUCUCUCGCCUGCCACUCACCUCCUGCUGUGUGGCCUGGUUCCUAACAGGCCAUGGACUGGGACUAGUCCAUGGCCUGGGGGUUGGAGACCCCUACUUUAAAGGACUCCAGGCCUUCAUCAUGAAAACUUUAGCUACUCUCCUAAGUCUAAAGGUAGGGUAGAAGUUCUGAGAGAGCUGAGAGAAAUCCCUAUGAAGCCUAUAGACAUUAAAAGAAUGGUAAUUGGGCUGAGCACAGUGGCUCACGCCUGUAAUCACAGCACUUUGGGAGGCCAAGGCAGGCAGAUCACUAGGUCAGGAGUUCGAGGCCAGCCUGGCCAACAUAGUGAAACCCUGUCUCUACUAAAAAUAAAAAAAAAAAAAGCCCGGCCUGGUGGCGGGUGCCUGUAAUCCUAGCUACUUGGGAGGCUGAGGCAGGAGAAUCACUUGAACCUGGGAGGUGGAGGUUGCAGUGAUCUGAGAUCAUGCCACUGCACUCCAGCCUGGACGACAGUGUGAGACUCUGUCUCAAAAAAAACAAAAACAAAAAAAAAAAAAAACGGUAAGUGGAUAUUAUGAAAAACUUUAUGCCACCAAAUUUGACAAUGUAAAUUAAAUGGACAAAUUCCUUGAAAAACACAACUUCGGCCAGGCGCGGUAGCUCACACCUGUAAUCCCAGCACUUUGGUAGGCCAAGGCAGGCAGAUCACAAGGUCAGGAGCUCGAGACCAGCCUGACCAACAUGGUGAAACCCCGUCUCUACUAAAAAUACAAAAAUUAGCCGGCUGUGGUGGUGUGCGCCUGUAAUCCCAGCUACUCAAGAGGCUGAGGCAGGAUAAUCGCUUGAACCCGGGAGGCAGAGGUUGCAGUGAGCCGAGAUUGCGCCACUGCACUCCAUCCUAGGCAACAGAGUGAGACUCUGUCUCAAAAAAAAAAAAAAAGAAAGAAAGAAAAACACAACUUCAUACAAAAUAGAAACAAGAAGAAAAAGAAAAUAUAAAAACCCUGUAUCUAUAAAAUACAUUAAAUUUUAAUAAAACAAAUAAAAACCUCUAGGUUCAUGUAGCUUCGCAGUAAAUGCUAUAAAGAUUCAAGAAAUAAAUAAUUAUAGACACAAACACUUUAAGAAAAUAGAGGAGGAAGAAACAAUUCCAGCCUCAUUUGAUGAGACCAGCAUAACUCUGAUACAAAAACCUGACAAGAUCAUUAAAAUAAAAAAAAUUACAGAUAAAUAUCCCUUAUGAACACAAAUGCAAAAACCCUGAACAAAAUAUUAGCAAGUUGAAUCAGCAAUAUAUAAAAAAUGGUAAUAUGAUCAAGAGUGAUUUUAUCUUUUGAAAAAUAAUAGAAACAUAAAUUGUUUCAUCCUGUGAAAAAUCAAUGUAAUUCACCACAUUAACAGAAUAAAGGAGAGAGGGAAAAAAAAGUGCACUCCUCUUAAUAUAUGCAAAAUAAAAUCGAAAAAUUCAAUGCAAAUUUAAGAUUUUUAAAAAUAGCUUAAAACUAGGAAUAGAAGCGAACUUCCUCAGUUUGAUAAAGAUCAUCUGCCAAAAGCACCUACAGAUAGCAUCAUAUUAAUGGUGAAACACUGAAUAAUUUCCCCCUACAACUGGGAAUAAGGCAAUAUGCCCACUUGUAUUUAACUCUGGACUGGAAAUCUUAACUAGUUCAAUAUGGCAAGGAAAAGAUUGGAAAGGAAGAAAUAUAAUUUUCAUUAUUUGCUGACAUGAUUAUGUACAUAGAAAAUCAUGAUGACAUGAUUGUGUACAUAGAAAAACUCUGCAGAAUCUACAAAAAAAAUGUAUAUUUUAAAAAAUCUACUAGAACUAAUAAGUGAACUUAGCGAGGUCACAGAUACAAAGUCAAUAUAUAAAAAGCAACUGAACUUCUAUAUAUUUGUAACAAACAAAGUGUAUUAGUCCGUUCUCACAUUGCUAUAAAAAGCUACCUGAGGCCGGGCCUGGUGGCUCAUGCCUGUAAUCCCAGCACUUUGGGCGGCCGAGGCGGGCGGAUCACGAGGUCAGGAGAUCGAGACCAUCUUGGCUAACAUGGUGAAACCCUGUCUCUACUAAAAAUACAAAAAAUUAGCCGGGCGUGGUGGCAUGCGCAUGUAGUCCCAGCUACUCGGGAGGCUGAGGCAGGAGAAUGGCGUGAACCCGAGAAGUGGAGCUUUCAGUGAGCCGAGAUGGCGCCACUGCACUCCAGCCUGGACGACAGAGCGAGAUUCCGUCUCAAAAAAAAGAAAAGGUACCUGAAACUGGGUAAUUUAUAAAGAAAAGAGAUUUAAUUGACUCACAGUUCUGCAGGAUACACAGGAAACAUGGCUGGGAAGGCCUCAAGAAACUUAGAAUCAUGGCAGAGGGCAAAGGGCAAGCAGACAUGUGUUAUACGGCCAGAGAAGGCAGAGAAUAGCAAAAGGAGAGGUGCUACACACUUUUAAAUAACCAGAUCUCAUGAGAAUUCACUCACUAUCAUGAGAACAGCAUGGGGGAAAUAGACCCCCACGAUCCAAUCACCUCCCGCCCAACCCAUCCUCCAACACUGAGGAUUACAAUUCAACAUGAGAUUUGGACAUAGAUACAAAUCCAAAUCAUAUUAAAAAGUGAAAUUUAAAAAUAGCGUAAUAUUAGCAACAGACACCAAACAGGUAGGAAUAAAUCUAAGAUGUACAAAACUUUUAUACUGAAAACAACAAAACAUUCUUGGGAUAAAUUAAGUAAGUCCUAAUAAAUAGAGAUAUAUCAUCAAUAUUGUUAAGAUGUCCAUUUUCCCAAUUUAAUUCAACAUAAGCCCAAGCAAAAUCCCAGGAGUCAUUUUUGUGUAAGUUGACAAGGUGAUUCUAAAAUGCAUAGGGAAAUAUAAAGAACCUAGAGUAGACAAAAUGAUCUUGAAAAAGAACAAAGUUGGAAGACACAUGAUUCAACUCUAAAACAUAUUAUAAUGCUACAAUCAUCAAGAUAAUGUAUUGAUUUAGGCAUAGACAUAAAGAUAAAUAAAAUGAAUGGAGAUCCCAGAAACAGACCCAUACUUACCUGGUCAAUUGAUUUUGAACAAAGAGUCCAAGGUAAUUCAACGAAGAAAGAAUAAUCUUUGUACAAUUGUAUAUCUGUAUAAAAAAAAAUGAACCUCAACCCUUGCAUGAGACUGUCCACAGAAAGUAAAUGAAAUGGAUUAUAGAUAUUAGCUUAAAAGCUGAAGCUAUAAAACUUUUAGAAGAAAACAUGAGAGAAAUAUCUUCAUCACCCUAGUAUAGGCAAAGAUUUCUCAGACUAGAUAUGAUAAAAACUAACCAAAAAAAAGAUACUGAUAAUUUGCACUUUAUCAAAAUUAAAAACAUCUGUUCUUUGAAAAACACUGUAAGAAAAUAAAAAUAAAACAAUAUUUAAUAAAAGACUUGUAUCUAGAACAUAUUAAGAACUCCUACAACUCAAUAGUAAGAAAAUACACGAUUUACAAAUGGACAAAAGAUUGAACAAACACUUCACAAAUGAAAAUCUAUGGCAAAAAAACAAAAGUGCAUGAAAUGAUUCUCAUCAUCAUUACUUAAGAGGAAAAUAUGAAUUUAAAUCCACAAUGAGUUAUCACUACACACCCCUAGAAUAGUUAAAAUUAAAAAGCUGGACAAUACCAAGUGUUGUGAGGAUGUGGAGCAAUUAGAACUCUCAUGUACCACCAAUGGGAGUGUAAAAGAGUACAACCAUCUUGAGGAACACUAGAGCAAUUUCUUAUACUCAUAUACCUACCCUAUAAUCCAGAAAUUCCUAGGUAUUUACUCAGGAAAAAUGAAAACACAUGCCUACAAGUUAUACACAAAUGCUCCUAGUCCCUAACUGAAGACAAUCCAACUGUCCAUUAACAAGUCUUUGGAUAAACAUAUAGUGGUAUAUUCAUGUAAUAGAAUACUAUUCAGCACUGAAAAUGAACUGUUAACACAUGAAUGAAUCCAACAAACAACAUGAAUGAAUCUCAAAAACAUUAUGCUUGAAUGAAAGAAGCAGGGUACAAAACAGUAUAUACUAUAAUGAUUCUAAAAUAUGUGAAGUCCAGAAACAAACAAAAACUAAUGGUGGCAAAUUAGAAAAUGCUUGCCCAGUUGAGAGGCAUUGGGUAACUGACUAGAAAGGGCACUUUCUGGGGUUAUACAAAUGUUCCAAAUUUUGGUUUAGGUGGUUUUUGCACAAGUGAAUACCCCUGCCAAAAUUGUAAAAACUGAAUACUUUAGACAUGUGCAUUUUAUUAUGUGAAAAUUAUGCCUUGAUUUUUUAAAGUUAUGAUUAGAUUUAUCUCUAUAUAUUUGUGCCCAGCAAUAAUAAUAUCAUUUUCAAGAGGUGCUGAUCGAUUCCUUUGCAUUGUGAUAAUUGUCUUAUUAUAACUAUCUGUAAUUAUAUGAAGCCUUCAUAAAUGUGACCACGUGCAAUAAUAAAGUUGUAAAACACUUAAAAUAGUAACUGGCAGACUGGGGAAUAUAUUUGCAACUCAGCUCUCAAAGGGCUAAUGACCCUCAUAUAUAAGAGAUCUUAAAAAUAUAUAUUUAAAAUACCAUAAAUUCAACAUCCCUUCAUAAUAAAAACUCUCAACAAAUUAGGAAGAAAGCAGUAUGGCAGUUCCUCAAAAAAUUAAAAAUAACAGCAGGGCACAGUGGCAUGGGCCUGUAAUUCUAGCUACUCAGCCGGCUGAGGCAGGAGGACAGCUUGAGCCUAGGACAGCUAGUGCCUGUGAAUAGCCACUGCACUCCAGCCUGGGUGACAGAGUAGGACUAUAUCUCUAAGAAAAAAAAAAAUUAAAAAUAGAACUACCAUAUGAUCCAGCAAUCCCACUACAGGGUAUACAUCCAAAAGAAAUGUAAUCAGUAUAUUGAACAGGUAUCUGAACUCCUUUGUUCAUUGCAGCACUAUUCACACUAGCUGAUAUAUGGAAUCUACUUAAAUGUCCAUCAACAGAAGCAUAGAUAAAGAAACUAUGGUACGUUUAUAUACAUAUUAUAGUUUACACACACACACACACACAAUGGAAUACUAUUCAGCUAUAAUAACAAAAUGAAAUCCUGUCAUUUGUGGCAACAUGGAUGAACCUGGAAAACAUUUUUAAACUAAAUAAGCUAGGCAUAGAAAAAUAAGUCCCACAAGGUCUCACUUAUACGUGGAGUCUAAAAAGUUGUUCUUAUAGAAGUGGAAAGCAGAAUAGUGGUUAGCAGAGGAUGGGGGGAUGGGGAGAAGCCGGGGAAGGUGAGAGAUUGGUCAGUGGGUACAAAGCUAUAGCUACAUAGGAGGAAUAAGUUCUGGUGGUCUGUUGCAUAGAAAGAUCACUAGAGUUAACAACAUUGUAUUGUGCAUUUCAAAAUAGCUAGAAAAGAGGUUUUUGAAUGUUCUUAUCACAAAGAAAUAAUACAUGUUUAAGACAACAGAUGUUAAACUGUCAUCAUUACACAAUUAUACAUGUAUCAAAACAUCACAUUGUACCCCAUAAAUAUGUACAAUUAUUAUGUGUCAAUCAUAAAUUAAAAAAUAAAAAUGAAAGUCAUAGGACUGUUAAAAGAAAACAUAAAUUACCAAAGUAAAGACUGCUUUACUCUGGGAGUGGAGUGCUUUCAUCACAAGUGGAUUUCACUCUUAGGUGUAGCCACUUUUUCCUAUUUCUGGUUUUAUUUUCACAUUUAAUGGUGGUGUGAAAAAAGGGAACAAAGAAAGAAGGGAGAGAGGAGGAAAAAAGAGAGAUGCACACCUAUGCUCAAAGAAAGUACUGGACAGAACUAUACAAACAUAUUAAUAACAGGGUGGAAUUAUGGGCCUUUUUUUCUCCUAAUGGAUUAUCUGUAUUUUUUUUUACAAUGGACACGUAACUUCUGCUCAUUUAUAGGAAAUGCUAUCAUGCAAAUGAGAACUAUUUCUGGCGAAACUAUUAUAUCUAGAAGUACUUUAAAUAAUUUUCAUGAAGUUCAAUUUAUGAGUCAAAAUUUUAUUCCUUCAACAGGCAAUGCUUUUAUUAUUCUUUUAUACCCACCCACAGAACAUGGGUGGGGAUAAAUGAAUUAAGAAAGCUUCAUGAACUUUUUACAUAUAAAUGCUGCAUCAUUUUAUAUUCUAGUAGCUGAUAAUAUUUUUUAAAGCUCAUUUAAAUCUACCUAACUUAUAUUUGGAGUUUUCUUCCACAGUUUUCAUCAGACAUUGUGCCCAUAUUGGUUCCUUAAAAUAGAUGUAGAAGCUGGGGAGGUGGUGCAUGCCUGUAAUCCCAGUUACUUCAGUGGCUAAGGCAGGAGGAUUGCUUGAGCCCAGGAGUUCAAGUUCAGCCUGGACAACAUAGCAAGGCUCUGCCUCUAAAAAAUAAAAAAUAAAAAAAAAACAAAAAGUAAACAGACGUAGUAAAGAAAUCCACUGGCAAUUUCUAUGUCCUUCUCAAAAAGCCUUUGUAUUAUAAAAUCUUCAAAUGUGCAUAGAAAUAGAAGAUUGUCUAUUUAACUCUGUAUAACCAUCAUGUAGACUUACAUUUUGUCAUAUUUGCUUAGUCUUUAAAAAAAAUACAGAUUAUAACAUUUCAUCCCUAAAUACUUUAGCAAGCAUUUCUAAAAUAUAAGGAUAUCUUAUAGCCACAAAAUCAUUUUUACACCUAACAAAAUUAACAACAAUUUCUUAAUAUCACCUAAUUCUUAGACCAUAUUCAAAUUUCCCCCAUUUCUGCCCAAAAUGUAUUUUAUAGUUAUUUGUUUGAACUAGGAUCCAUAUAAAGUCCGACUGACCAUUUCAUUUCUAAAAUCUAGUCUUUUUAAAAUCUAGAAUAGUUUCCAUCAUCACCACUACUUUUUUCUUUCUUCUUCUUCUUUUGCUUUUUAAUGUUAUUGACUUGUACUUGGUUAACUGUUUCAUAAAGUGUUUCCUGGAAAUUUAAAGAAUGAUUUGACAACACCGCCAGAGAACUCACUGUAAAAAUAAUCAUCUCAAAAAAGAAAAUCAGACUCAUUUUUUAAUAUCAAAAUCUUGCAAAUCUCCAUCUUGAACAUCAAUACUAUAGUGUGGAGGGGCGGGGCAAGUAGGAAUAUUAGAAAAAUUCCAUAAAACUAGCAUAUUUUAAGAGCUAGGUACAGUGGCUCAUGCCUGUAAUCCCACCUCCUCUGGAGGCUGAGGCAAGAGAAUCACUUGAACCCAGGAAUUUGAGUCUGCAGCGAGCUAUGAUUAUACCACUGCACUCCAGCCUGGGUGACAGAGGG